UCUCCGUAGGUGAACCUGCGGAGGGAUCAUUACAACGUAUCCACGUAUAAACCUUUGUGAACGUGUUUGUUCUAAACACAUGUUUUUGUGGCGGAGAGAGUUCGAUGUCACAGUCUCUCUCUCUUUUGUCACACUAACACCACUUUUACUAUUAACGUUUGUAAAUUUAUGUUCAUGCUAUUAUUUUUCAACUUAACCGUUGAAAUCUAGAACAAUAUAAAAUUUGUUUAAGCACAACUCUUAGCAACGGAUAUCUUGGCUCUU
rnacentral:misc_RNA from 1 species